AUGUUUGGACCACAGUCAGCUGCUUCUCUCUGCUAUGACCACCAUCUUUUUAUUACAGGAAAUGACAUGGAAAACGGAAGAAAGCGAUGUUUGUGCAGACCGGGCACGAAAUUUCAGGAAAGGGAAAGUUGACGUUAGAAUAACAAUCGAGGGGGAAAAGUGUGAGGAUUCUUUUAUUUUACACCUCUACAGUCUUAAAUUCGCCAUGGAUUGCUUCAGGAAUAUCCCACAGUAUUUUCAAAACACUGCAUACAAAGGACUCAUCACAGGCUCAAUACAGGAGAGGAUAAAAGCUCAAAGCUAAGCCAGCGAUCUGCGAGUCAGUAAACUGGGACAAUUCUUUGAUGAAACAAACUGGAGAAUUUCAAGAGUAGGAAGAGAGACAGAAAGUGAAACAUUCCCCCAAAACAGCUGUGCUAAAAAUCCAGACUUUUCAAGAAGCGACUGAAUAAAUGCAAUCUCAGACUCUCUCUGACAAUCUGGAGUGUUUCCACCUCUCAGCAGGAGACGAGACAAGCCCCAACACACACAUCAGACACAUGCGCUACACACAGCGGGCUGCAUGUAUUACUCUUCUGCCACAGUUGUUAAAUGCGCAGACCCAGGCCUGUCCUGCUGGCUGCUCUUUUCUCAACCGCAAAACAAUUAAAUAUAUCAAUCUUUGCUUAUUUCCACUGUCAUUUUGUCAUUAAAUGCUAAAAUUCCCACAAGAUCCAACAGCCACUUCAGGAAAUCAAUAAGACCAAUUUGAAGCAAACAAAUCAAAAAUGGCUUCAGUAAACGCAAAUUGACUUGGACACACAAAUGUGUUGAAACACGCUGGUGUUUUUGUGGUGUUGCUUAAAAUUUAAAUCUACCAGGGUUAUUAUCGUUUACUAAAACUAUUUAAAAUAUUCUGGAAUAAAAAUAAAAAGAAGGAAUAAAAUAAAAUUUAAGUAUUAGAUUAAAAUUAAUACUCUCAUUUACAAAAAAAGCACUAAAAUUAAUAAAUAGAAAUAAAUAAUAAUCACUAAAACUGAACUUAAAAUGAAAAUAAUAAUAAAUUUAACCUGAAAAGUAAUAUUUUAAAAACGAAUAAAAAUGACAAACCCACACAACUCCACUUUAAAUGUUACUAAAAUUAAAACUACAUGUAUAAAAACAGAAAAUGAACUGCUAAUUCAAAAUAGAAAUAUUUUUCAUAUAUUAUAGUUGUUAUAUUAUAUUAUAUUAUUAUAGUUGACUAUAUUAUAGUGCUCAUUGCUCACUGACACACAUUAAUAGACAAACAAGCAUUUAAUUGAUGCUUUCACUAUUGAAAAACAUUUGAUCCAGCAGCUGAAGCAGUGAAUGACGUCACAAGGACUGUGAAAGUUCUUACCUGUUUCUCACUCAGAGCCGUGAUUUUCGCUUGGAGCUCGUGAAGUUGUUUCUUCAGAUCUGCGUUCUAUGAAAAAAAUGUGUGUAAUAAUCACUUUUUUUUUUUUAACUAUGAGCUUGUUUCAUAUCUGAACAAAUACCUGGAAACAUAUAAAUUCUGAAUUACACAACCUUUGUUUAAUAAAACAUUUAUACACAACACCAAGCUGCCUUAUUAGUAUAGAAAAUACUCAGCCGUCAGUAAUGUUAAAGUAAAGCCAAGGAUUAAUUCCGAAGAGCAACGUCAUAAAGAAUAUUUACCUGUGGAUCCUGCUUCAUUUGGGCGACAAGUUUCUAUGGCAACA